rnacentral:misc_RNA from 1 species
GAUGAAGAACGCAGCGAAAUGCGAUAAGUAGUGUGAAUUGCAGAAUUCAGUGAAUCAUCGAAUCUUUGAACGCACAUUGCGCCUCCUGGUAUUCCGGGAGGCAUGCCUGUUCAAGCGUCAUUAAAAUCACUCAAGCUUAGGUUUACCUAUUGCUUGGUCUUGGAGUUGGAAGCCAAUUUAUUGGAAUCCUCUUCGAAAUUCAAUGGCGAAGACCCUUGCUCUCCCAAGUGUAGUAAUAACUUAUGUCACUGAAGGAAGCGAGAAAUCUUCUGCCGUAACCCCCAUAUUUUCUAUGAUUGACCUCGGAUCAGGUAGGGAUACCCGCUGAACUUAAGCAUAACAAUAAGCGGAGGA